rnacentral:rRNA from 1 species
AUUGAACGCUGGCGGCAGGCCUAACACAUGCAAGUCGAGCGAGCGGCGGACGGGUGAGUAAUGUAUGGGGACUGCCCGAUAGAGGGGGAUAACUACUGGAAACGGUGGCUAAUACCGCAUACUAUCGGAUAACCCAUAUGGGAUUAGCUAGUAGGUGGGGUAAAGGCUCACCUAGGCGACGAUCUCUAGCUGGUCUGAGAGGAUGAUCGGCCAAACGGGGCCUGAGACACGGCCCGAACUCCUACGGAGGCGUCAGGGGGGAAUAUUGACCAAUGGGGGCAAGCCUGAUGCAGCCAGGCCGGGUAUAUGAAAAAGGCCUUAGGGUUGUAAAGUACUUUCAGCGGGGAGGCGUUACCCGCAGAAGAAGCACCGGCUAACUCCGUGCCAGCAGCCGCGGUAAUUC